rnacentral:rRNA from 1 species
GGCGCAGGCGGAGAUGUAAGCCAGACGUGAAAUACCGAAGCUCAACUUCGGAACUGCAUUUGGAACUACAUCCCUUGAGGAUAGGCGGAGAGAACGGAAUUCCACGUGUAGCGGUGAAAUGCGUAGAUAUGUGGAAGAACACCCGUGGCGAAGGCGGUUCUCUAGCUUAUUCCUGACGCUCAAGCCCGAAAGCGAGGGGAGCGAACA